rnacentral:rRNA from 1 species
UACGAAGGGGGCUAGCGUUGCUCGGAAUCACUGGGCGUAAAGCGCACGUAGGCGGUUUCUUAAGUCAGGGGUGAAAUCCUGGAGCUCAACUCCAGAACUGCCUCUGAUACUGGGAGACUUGGAGUCCGGGAGAGGUGAGUGGAACUGCGAGUGUAGAGGUGAAAUUCGUAGAUAUUCGCAAGAACACCAGUGGCGAAGGCGGCUCACUGGCCCGGUACUGACGCUGAGGUGCGAAAGCGUGGGGAGCAAACAGG